rnacentral:rRNA from 1 species
UGGUCCUACGGGAGGCAGCAGUGAGGAAUAUUGGUCAAUGGUCGGGAGACUGAACCAGCCAAGCCGCGUGAGGGAUGAAGGUACAGAGUAUCGUAAACCUCUUUUGUCAGGGAACAAAGGCGGGGACGUGUCCCCGGAUGAGUGUACCUGAAGAAAAAGCAUCGGCUAACUCCGUGCCAGCAGCCGCGGUAAUACGGAGGAUGCGAGCGUUAUCCGGAUUUAUUGGGUUUAAAGGGGGCGUAGGUUGUUUUUUAAGUCAGCGGUGAAAGUUUGUGGCUCAACCAUAAAAUUGUCGUUGAAACUGG